GAUGAACGCUGGCGGCGUGCCUAAUACAUGCAAGUCGAGCGAACAGACGAGGAGCUUGCUCCUUUGACGUUAGCGGCGGACGGGUGAGUAACACGUGGAUAACCUACCUAUAAGACUGGGAUAACUUCGGGAAACCGGAGCUAAUACCGGAUAACAUGUUGAACCGCAUGGUUCAACAGUGAAAGACGGUCUUGCUGUCACUUAUAGAUGGAUCCGCGCCGCAUUAGCUAGUUGGUAAGGUAACGGCUUACCAAGGCAACGAUGCGUAGCCGACCUGAGGGGGGGAUCGGCCACACUGGAACUGAGACACGGUCCAGACUCCUACGGGAGGCAGCAGUAGGGAAUCUUCCGCAAUGGGCGAAAGCCUGACGGAGCAACGCCGCGUGAGUGAAGAAGGUCUUCGGAUCGUAAAACUCUGUUAUUAGGGAAGAACAAAUGUGUAAGUAACUAUGCACGUCUUGACGGUACCUAAUCAGAAAGCCACGGCUAACUACGUG
rnacentral:rRNA from 1 species